GGCUAUAGCUCAGCUGGGAGAGCGCUUGCAUGGCAUGCAAGAGGUCAGCGGUUCGAUCCCGCUUAGCU
rnacentral:tRNA from 17 species